AGAAAAGAGCGCCUCUAUCGGUAAGAAAAGAUUUGGCGAACGAUCAAUAGGAGAAUUGGGUAUCGCCAUUUAGCAACCCGCGAGAUUAUUUCAACUAAAGAUAUUUCUUUGUAUUUGAAAACGUGAAAGAUUCAUAAUGGUUAGAAAAAUUACAAAAAUUUAUAUUGGAAAUUUGCCAGAAUCAUGUCAGAAUAAAGACAUGCAGCAACUGUUUGAAAAGUAUGGAAAAGUC